UGCAUUGGAUUGAGACAAUGUACAAAUGUUAUCGAUAAACAAUUGGAGGGCAAGUCUGGUGCCAGCAGCCGCGGUAAUUCCAGCUCCAAUAGCGUAUAUUAACGUUGUUGCAGUUAAAAAGCUCGUAGUUGAAAUGUGGGAUGAAGUAUAUUAUGAAUUUCUAAUUCAAUUCUAUAUUGAUUCCCCUCUCCAAUUUAUUAUUAUGGGUAUUAAUUUAUUUGUAAUAAGAAUUGGUCAUUUACUGUGAGAAAAUUAGAGUGUUCAAAGCAGGCAUUUGCUUGAAUAGAUUAGCAUGGAAUAAUACUAAAAGGCUUUUAUGGUCGAUUUAAUUGGUUUGUUCAUAAAAGCCAGAUUAAAAGGAACAGUUGGGGGUAUUCAUAUUCAAUAGUUAGAGGUGAAAUUCUCGGAUUUAUGGAAGAUGAACAUUCCCCAAAGCAAAUUUUUUGCUACCCCCAAUAAAUU
rnacentral:rRNA from 1 species